UACCAGACUCCUACGGGAGGCAGCAGUGGGGAAUAUUGCACAAUGGGGGGAACCCUGAUGCAGCGACGCCGCGUGGGUGAAGGAGUACUUCGGUACGUAAAGCCCUAUCAGCAGGAAAGAAAAUGACGGUACCUGACUAAGAAGCCCCGGCUAACUACGUGCCAGCAGCCGCGGUAAUACGUAGGGGGCAAGCGUUAUCCGGAUUUACUGGGUGUAAAGGGAGCGUAGACGGUUAUGUAAGUCUGGAGUGAAAGCCCGGGGCCCAACCCCGGGACUGCUUUGGAAACUGUGUAACUGGAGUACAGGAGGGGCAGGCGGAAUUCCUGGUGUAGCGGUGAAAUGCGUAGAUAUCAGGAGGAACACCGGCGGCGAAGGCGGCCUGCUGGACUGCAACUGACGUUGAGGCUCGAAGGCGUGGGGAGCAAACAGGAUUAGAUACCCGUGUAUA
rnacentral:rRNA from 1 species